UACGGAAGGGGCAAGCGUUGUUCGGAUUCAUUGGGCGUAAAGGGUGUGUAGGUGGCGCCGUAAGUCGGGUGUGAAAUUUCGGAGCUUAACUCCGAAACUGCAUUCGAUACUGCGGUGCUUGAGGACUGGAGAGGAGACUGGAAUUCAUGGUGUAGCAGUGAAAUGCGUAGAGAUCAUGAGGAAGACCAGUGGCGAAGGCGGGUCUCUGGACAGUUCCUGACACUGAGACACGAAGGCCAGGGGAGCAAACGGG
rnacentral:rRNA from 1 species